UGAAACUUCCCCGAGGUUUCCUUCAGAAGAGAAAAGCAGUAGUAGCUAAGAAAGUUCCUCUUCUCCAUCUUCCAGAAGUUUCUAGCUUCUUCCCAUUCUGGAUUCCACAGGAAGUGAAGAACAGGAAUAGUAAGGUUAGACAAUCUGCCCUUGUGAUAAUAUGGUAGCCUCUAGCCAUAUCUGGCUCUUCAGCACUUAAAAUAUGACUAGUCCAGAGACAUGCUGUAUGUGCAAAAUGCACACCAGAGUUUGAAUAUUGUUU